CACCACAAACCCGUAGAUCCGAACUUGUGGUGACAGACAACACAAGCUCGCAUCUAUAGGCCUGUGGGAC
rfam:Scleropages formosus scaffold12933, whole genome shotgun sequence.